UACGGAAGGGGCUAGCGGUGUUCGGCAUUACUGGGCGUAAAGAGCGCGUAGGCGGCUUACCAAGUUGGGGGUGAAAUCCCGGAGCUCAACUCCGGAACUGCCUUCAAAACUGGUAGGCUCGAGUCCGGAAGAGGGGCGUGGAAUUCCCAGUGUAGAGGUGAAAUUCGUAGAUAUUGGGAAGAACACCGGUGGCGAAGGCGGCGCCCUGGUCCGGUACUGACACUGAGGCGCGAAAGCGUGGGGAGCAAACAGG
rnacentral:rRNA from 1 species